rnacentral:lncRNA from 1 species
AGCUCGGGGUCUGAGCCAUGUCUGUGGUCUACACCGCAGCUUGUGGCAGUGCCGGAUUCUUAACCUACCGAGCGAGGCCAGGGAUCGAACCCCCUUCCUCAUGGAUCCUUGUCAGGUUCGUAACCCCUGAGCCACGACGGGAACUCCACAAACCACACUGCUGUGAUUACCGUCGCUUUGUCGGAAUUACUGAAAUUGGGAAGCGUGGAUCCUCCGACUUCUUUAUUUCAACACUGUCUUGGCUUUUUAAGGCCCUUUAUGCUGCUUUCUGAAUUUGAGGACUGGCUCUUCCAUUGCUGCGGAGCGGACUUCUGGAGCCCUGACAGCGACUGUACUGAACCUGCAGACGGCUUUGGAGGUGACGCCGUCGUCACGGUAUGAAGUCUCCCUGCCCAGGAACAAAGCAUGUCCUUCCACGUACUCGGAAUUCCAUGCUACGGAUUUCUGAGUUUUUCCUGCUUGAAUUUGUUGAGCUUCUUGUACAGCAGGCACAUGAUCCAGCCAGGGUCAGACUGAACUGCCAACCUACCCGCUGUGCGCCGUGGUUCCAGGUUUCGUCGUCUCACCAGAGCGCGUCUGAAACCUGCGAACACUGGUCACUGGGGACAGGAGCACGGAGGCGGGUCCACCUGGGUCUUUCCACCCCCGCACGCGGUGCAGCCUCACCUCCGCUCGGGCCUCAACUCACCACGCGGUGAUGGCACGGAGCCUCCAGAGCUGCCUCAGCCCACGGGACGGCACGGGGCCCAGACGCGCGCCUCCCCCAGCGGCUGCCACCCUCUGCUCUGAGGAGCUCGUCGGCUUCUACGAACCGAAGGCCUCCUCUCUCGACUCCUUUCUCGGGUGGAGGAAGGUCACCCUGCAGGACGGCGGUCGCCUCCCCCUCCGCUCCAUUCACUUCGGCGUGAACUACGGCAUCACCAGAGCGGCUCCUCCGGAGCAAGAAGGGGCCGCGACCUAAAGCACUGGAAGCAGGGAUCCGCCGCGGACCCCGGCCCCAAAGGCGCGGCCGUCCAGGCCGCUGUCCGCACCGCCCUGCCUGUCUCUAGGGAGGGCGCCACUCUUCGCUCCGUGGGAACUGUCCUUGAAGGCGGUGCCACACCCCGGGUGACGGGCCGGGACCUGCGUGCCCGCCUGCCCCUUAGACACGGUUUCCGUCUCACAGGACGACGUGGCUCAGCUGCUUUGCAACGUCCCUUCCCAGGCUGAGCGCUGAGCCUGCAGGAGAAACGGCAGCUACGGGCUGUUCAACUCCAACUCGACGGCAACAGCCAGGCUGACUCAGCGGGGCCUGCGACCGGAGCCUGUGCCCGGGCACACGCGCUCCCCCUUCCCGCGGUGGAGCCCGGAGCUGGCACUGCUGUCGUCACAGCCGCUCCUUCCGACACUUGUUCCAGCGCACGAGGCCUCUGGCGAGCUCCGAACAGAGCAGUGCCUGCUUAAGCUUAUCCAAAGGACAAUGAUACUCUGUAUUCAAUUAAAAUUAAUAAAAAUAUUUUAUUGAGUUUCAGGA